rnacentral:rRNA from 1 species
AGUGAACGCUGGCGGUAGGCCUAACACAUGCAAGUCGAACGGCAGCACAGUAAGAGCUUGCUCUUACGGGUGGCGAGUGGCGGACGGGUGAGGAAUACAUCGGAAUCUACUUUUUCGUGGGGGAUAACGUAGGGAAACUUACGCUAAUACCGCAUACGACCUACGGGUGAAAGCAGGGGAUCUCCGGACCUUGCGCGAUUGAAUGAGCCGAUGUCGGAUUAGCUAGUUGGCGGGGUAAAGGCCCUCCAAGGCGACGAUCCGUAGCUGGUCUGAGAGGAUGAUCAGCCACACUGGAACUGAGACACGGUCCAGACUCCUACGGGAGGCAGCAGUGGGGAAUAUUGGACAAUGGGCGCAAGCCUGACCCAGCAAUACCGCGUGGGUGAAGAAGGCCUUCGGGUUGUAAAGCCCUUUUGUUGGGAAAGAAAAGCAGCAGGUUAAUACCCCGCUGUUCUGACGGUACCCAAAGAAUAAGCAACGGCUAACUUCGUG